rnacentral:rRNA from 1 species
UACGGAGGGUGCAAGCAUUGAUCGGAAUUACUGGGCGUAAAGGGCGCGUAGGCGGCCAACUAAGUCAGACGUGAAAUCCCUCGGCUCAACCGGGGAACUGCGUCUGAUACUGGAUGGCUUGAAUUCGGGAGAGGGAUGCGGAAUUCCAGGUGUAGCGGUGAAAUGCGUAGAUAUCUGGAGGAACACCGGUGGCGAAGGCGGCAUCCUGGACCGAGAUUGACGCUGAUGCGCGAAAGCCAGGGGAGCAAACGGG